GACGAACGCUGGCAGCGUGCUUAACACAUGCAAGUCGAACGAUGAAGCUGGAGCUUGCUCCGGUGGGUUAGUGGCGAACGGGUGAGUAACACGUGAGUAAUCUGCCCUUGACUCUGGGAUAACUGCGGGAAACUGUAGCUAAUACCGGAUACAACACCUUCGGGCAUCCGAUGGGUGUGGAAAGAAUUUCGGUCAAGGAUGAACUCGCGGCCUAUCAGCUAGUUGGUGAGGUAAUGGCUCACCAAGGCGACGACGGGUAGCCGGCCUGAGAGGGUGACCGGCCACACUGGGACUGAGACACGGCCCAGACUCCUACGGGAGGCAGCAGUGGGGAAUAGUGCACAAUGGGCGAAAGCCUGAUGCAGCAACGCCGCGUGAGGGAUGAAGGCCUUCGGGUUGUAAACCUCUUUUAGUUGGGAAGAAGCGAAAGUGACGGUACCAACAGAAAAAGCACCGGCUAACUACGUGCCAGCCGCCGCCGUAA
rnacentral:rRNA from 1 species